UUGCCUAGGGUUAGUAUUACCCCUAGGCAACUUCUGUAUAAUGUAUAA
ncrna:unclassified sequences ssNA-helicase RNA